GAUGAACGCUGGCGGCGUGCCUAAUACAUGCAAGUCGAGCGAACAGACGAGAGUGCUUGCACUCUCUGACGUUAGCGGCGGACGGGUGAGUAACACGUGGGUAACCUACCUAUAAGACUGGGAUAACUUCGGGAAACCGGAGCUAAUACCGGAUAAUAUUUAGCUUCGCAUGAAGCAAUAGUGAAAGACGGUUCUGCUGUCACUUAUAGAUGGACCCGCGGUGUAUUAGCUAGUUGGUGAGGUAACGGCUCACCAAGGCAACGAUACAUAGCCGACCUGAGAGGGUGGUCGGCCACACUGGGACUGAGACACGGCCCAGACUCCUACGGGAGGCAGCAGUAGGGAAUCUACCGCAAUGGACGAAAGUCUGACGGAGCAAUGCCGCGUGAGUGAAGAAGGUUUUCGGAUCGUAAAACUCUGUUGUAAGGGAAGAACAAGUACGUUAGUAACUGAACGUACCUUGACGGUACCUUACCAGAAAGCCACGGCUAACUACGUG
rnacentral:rRNA from 1 species